AGAGUUUGAUCCUGGCUCAGGAUGAACGCUAGCUACAGGCUUAACACAUGCAAGUCGAGGGGCAGCAUGGGAUUAGCUUGCUAAUCCUGAUGGCGACCGGCGCACGGGUGCGUAACGCGUAUCCAACCUGCCCUCUACUCCGGAACAGCCCGUCGAAAGGCGGAUUAAUGCCGGAUGGUGUCAGAUGCCCGCAUGGGCUUGUGACUAAAGGCAACGGUAGAGGAUGGGGAUGCGACUGAUUAGCUAGUUGGCGGGGUAACGGCCCACCAAGGCUACGAUCAGUAGGGGUUCUGAGAGGAAGGUCCCCCACAUUGGAACUGAGACACGGUCCAAACUCCUACGGGAGGCAGCAGUGAGGAAUAUUGGUCAAUGGGCGAGAGCCUGAACCAGCCAAGUAGCGUGCGGGACGACGGCCCUAUGGGUUGUAAACCGCUUUUGAUUGGGAACAAAGAGCGCCACGUGUGGUGCGUUGCGUGUACCUUUCGAAUAAGCAUCGGCUAAUUCCGUGCCAGCAGCCGCGGUAAUACGGAAGAUGCGAGCGUUAUCCGGAUUUAUUGGGUUUAAAGGGAGCGUAGGCGGGCUGUUAAGUCAGCGGUCAAAUGUCAGGGCCCGACCUUGGCAUGCCGUUGAUACUGGCGGCCUUGAGUUCACACAAGGAAGGUGGAAUUCGUCGUGUAGCGGUGAAAUGCUUAGAUAUGACGAAGAACUCCGAUUGCGAAGGCAGCCUUCUGGGGUGUUACUGACGCUGAGGCUCGAAAGUGCGGGAAUCAAACAGGAUUAGAUACCCUGGUAGUCCGCACAGUAAACGAUGAAUACUCGCGGUUUGCGAUAGACUGUAAGCCGCCAAGCGAAAGCGUUAAGUAUUCCACCUGGGGGAGUACGCCCGGCAACGGUGAAACUCAAAGGGAAUUGACGGGGGCCCGCACAAGCGGAGGAACAUGUGGUUUAAUUCGAUGAUACGCGAGGAACCUUACCCGGGCUUGAACUGCCAGCGACGGAUGCAGAGACGCAUUUUUCUUCGGACGCUGGCGGAGGUGCUGCAUGGUUGUCGUCAGCUCGUGCCGUGAGGUGUCGGCUUAAGUGCCAUAACGAGCGCAACCCUCAUCCUCGUUUGCCAUCAGGUGAUGCUGGGCACUCCGGGGACACUGCCAUCGUAAGAUGUGAGGAAGGUGGGGAUGACGUCAAAUCAGCACGGCCCUUACGUCCGGGGCUACACACGUGUUACAAUGGGCGGUACAGAGGGCAGCCACUGCGCGAGCAGGAGCCAAUCCUCAAAGCCGUUCUCAGUUCGGACUGGAGUCUGCAACCCGACUCCACGAAGCUGGAUUCGCUAGUAAUCGCGCAUCAGCCAUGGCGCGGUGAAUACGUUCCCGGGCCUUGCACACACCGCCCGUC
rnacentral:rRNA from 1 species